rnacentral:rRNA from 1 species
GACGAACGCUGGCGGCGUGCCUAAUACAUGCAAGUUGAGCGCUGAAGGUUGGUACUUGUACCAACUGGAUGAGCAGCGAACGGGUGAGUAACGCGUGGGGAAUCUGCCUUUGAGCGGGGGACAACAUUUGGAAACGAAUGCUAAUACCGCAUAAAAACUUUAAACACAAGUUUUAAGUUUGAAAGAUGCAAUUGCAUCACUCAAAGAUGAUCCCGCGUUGUAUUAGCUAGUUGGUGAGGUAAAGGCUCACCAAGGCGAUGAUACAUAGCCGACCUGAGAAGGUGAACGGCCAAAGUGGGACUGAGACACGGCCCAAACACCUACGGGAGGCAGCAGUAGGGAAUCUUCGGCAAUGGACGAAAGUCUGACCGAGCAACGCCGCGUGAGUGAAGAAGGUUUUCGGAUCGUAAAACUCUGUUGGUAGAGAAGAACGUUGGUGAGAGUGGAAAGCUCAUCAAGUGACGGUAACUACCCAGAAAGGGACGGCUAACUACGUG